UAUGUCAAGCUGUGGUCUACUUAACCAUUAAUCAGCGCUGUUGAUAAAGACCACCCAGAACUCAAUCCUUCCAGGAAAUGACUUUGGGACCUCAAUGUAAAGGAUACAGUGUGUCGUUUUCACACUGGUAGGUGAAAUGCUGGAGACAUGACAUCAGAAUAUGGACGAGAUUCGACAUGCCAAAAAUAAUCGUGGUUGUCUCCCUUUAACCGCUGUGAUUAUAAUAUUAUGCAGUUUAAGAAAAGCAGGAACUGGUUGCAGUAAAAAAGAAAUGAGGGUAUGCCAAUGCGUGCAGACGGUCUAUAAUGUAACCCUGAUCUAGAACUUACAAAGGGCUCUGUCUUGUAGGAUGUGAUCCUGUGAUGUCCAGCAAGUAUUAGAACAACAGUAAAAUCUCUUAGUAAUUCAUUUUAACCACAGUUUUGCUUUAAACAAGUGUCUCUGUGGCAUUAAAGAUCGAAAAUUACAGUAAAUUACACAUGUGUUACAAAACCGAUAGAAACAUUUGGUACAGUAAGACAUCUAUAAUUCUUAAUAACCUUAUUUGUAAACAUUUUACAGUGUUUUAAUUGUAUUGUUUUGUUAUUGACAGAUCAAUGAGAAAGUAUUGGGAAAACAUAACACCAAAAU